rnacentral:lncRNA from 1 species
GACGACGACCCAGUCGGAGAAGAAGGAGUCGGUGGAGCUGCUCCGCAUCCUGGGGCGGACGCUGGUCUCGCCGCCGGUGGCGGGAUCCAUGGGCUACGAGUCUUCUUCUCUCUUCGAACGUGGUUAGCUACUUUAGUUUGAGAGAAUAUUUAUUACAUCUGUGGAUUUUUUUUUGUUUCGCAGGGGGACUUAUUUCUUCGGGGGCAAGGCACGUAAUUGGAUGAAUGAAUACCGUAGGAUCUUGAUCUGAGGGUAGGUACUGCUAGACGAGAAAUUAAUUAAUUAAUGUGUUACACUUUGUGUGGGAGAGGGGGAAGGAAGUUUUUUCACGAAAAAAGUGGAAAGAAAGUGGAAGAAACGGGGAAAAAAUAAAUUUAUUAAAAUCUAUAAUCCCCCCUAAUAAUAAAAAAUUAAAUUAAUAUUAUAGUUAAAUUUUAAAAUUUAUUUUAUAUUUAUUUCAGAAUAAAAAAAUUUUCUUAUUCAGUCGCUCUAAAUCUCCCACUGAUUCAUAUUUUUAAGAAUAAAAAAUUUAAAAAAAUUAAAAAAAAUAAAAAAAUAAAAAAAUUGAAAGAUAAUGCUUUUUCUCACAUAGAUUAUUAUUUUUUUAUAUUUUAUUUGCAUUUCAUUCCCUUUUCUAGGUAAAAGAAGAAGUCUGUUUUUUUUCUGAUUUCAAAUUUUUUUUCUUUUUAUCAAUAAUAUGCAAAAAGAAGCAGAAAAGAUGUCUUGAUUAGCAAGCUAAUAGUUAGUAUUUUUUCUAUCUUUUGUGGUCAAUAUUUUCUUCAUAUAUGAUCAUGUAUUUUUUAAGAUCUCUGUACUGAUGUGGAAUAGCAGGUUCUUCAUUAUUCCAAUAUCUUUUUGUUUAGAGGAGAUCAAUAAUUUUGCAAGUUAUCUUAACAAUUCAUACAAUGUCUACAGGAUACUUUACUAGGAUAGCAUGUUUAUUAUAGAAUCAAUAUAUCUUUAUUUUCUUACCAGUGCCAUUAUUCUAAUAAGAAAAAGAUGUCAUCAGUUCAGUUUUUAUUUAUUUAUUAUAAAAAAAUAAAUAUGUUGAAAUUUUGAUCCAAAACAUCCAAUAUCACUCGGCUUCCUAUUUUGCAUGAACUAAAGCUCCUGUGCCAGCUUAAGCACAAGUCAUGAGCCGGCCAAAAACAUAGGCAUUUCUCUUAUAGUAUCUUUUCUUUUCAGUAUGAUAUUUCAUAAAUUCUUUCUUACAGCUGUCAUGAUUUUACAAAUUUUGAGAUAAAUUUCAUGCACAGGGUUAGAAUUGGAAGCAGUUAACCUGUUUUGAUAAUUUAUUAUUAUAGUUAUAUUCAAAGAUAUAAAGGUAAAAAAAGAAUUAUAACAUUAUUUUUUUUCCUUUCUUUCUCGCUUGCAAACAGAUAGGAUUUUUUUUUCUUUAAACUUCCAAACAGAAAAUUAAAAAAAAAUUUCUCCGUACUAACAUUUUUUUUUUCUUUCUUCCUCGGACUCCCAAAAAGAUUCUUAGAGAAAACGACGCGGCAAGGCCAGUGAGCUAUGGUGGGCGCAGAGGAAGCGUGUGGGUAACUGAUCGAUGGGGUUUGAACCUUGACUCCCAGUGGCUUCGUCGACGGGGUUGGCGACUCUUUGGUUUGUGCGAGUUUGGUGGGGUGGAAAGUUUCGGGGAAGGUGGAGGGACGGGGAGAAUGGGAGGGUCUGGGCCUUCUGGGAACGGUGGGAAGAAAGUGGUUGGGGUUGGGUUGUAGAAUAUAUGACAAGCGUAGACAUUAUCUUCUGCGUGAAAGAAUAACGAUCUUUUUUUUUUGGCGGCGACACUAACCAUUGGAUUCCGAACCUUCUUCUUACUCUGUUUAUAGAUAUCUCAUAGAGGCUAUUGGACAGUCU